UGGUUUAGAGAGGACCGGAGCUGGGUGGUGAAAUAUUUUAACGGCCGCGGAACCCUGACCGUGCCAGGUAGCAUAAUCAUUUGCCUUAUAAUUGAAGGCUAGCAUGAAUGGUCUGACGAAAGCAAUACUGUCUCCUCUUUAUUUUUUAGAAAUUAACUUAUAGGUGAAGAGGCCUAUAUUAUAUUGAAGGACAAGAAGACCCUGUCGAGCUUUUAAAUUAAAUAUAGGUGUAAAUUAUUAACGAAAUCAAUAAACUAUAUCACAUUUUUAGUUGGGGCGACGAAGGAACAAACAAAGCUUCUUUUAUUUUUAUAAAUUUAUAGAUUUAGAUCCAGCAGAGCUGAUUAAAGAAAUUAGUUACCGCAGGGAUAACAGCAUAAUCUCCUUUGAGAGACCUAAUCGAAAAGGGGGGUUGUGACCUCGAUGUUGGACUAGAAUAUCCUGAAGAUGCAGACGUCUUCGAGGGUUGGUCUGUUCGACCAUUAAAAUUCUACGUGAUCUGAGUUCAGACCGGACGCA
rnacentral:rRNA from 1 species